GACGAACGCUAGCGGCGGGCCUAACACAUGCAAGUCGAACGGUAGAGCUCUGCUUGUGUGGGGUGCUCGAGUGGCGAACGGGUGACUCACGCGCGAGUAACCUGCCUUUGACUUUUGGAUUAUUUCAGGAAACUGUGACUACUAACGGAUUGAAGCUUCUCCUGCAUGGUUGGUGUUGGAUCGUUUCGGUGGUUGUGGAUGAACUCGCGGAUUAUCAGCUUGUUGGUGGGGUACUGGCUUACCAAGGCUUUGUAGGGUAGCCUGCCUGAGAGGGUGACCGGCAAAAGGACGAGAGAGAUACGGCCCAGAGUCCUACGGGAGGCAGCAGUGGGGAAGAGUGCACAAUGGGCGGAAGCCGGAUGAAGGAACGCCGCGUGAGGGAUGACGGACUUCGGGUGGUAAAGCGCUAUCGCCUGUGAGGAAGGGUAAGUGACGGUAAUGUGUAAAGAAGCACCGGCUAACUACGUG
rnacentral:rRNA from 1 species